GAUGUGGUUUAAUUCGAUGCAACGCGAAAAACCUUACCCACCUUUGACAUGGCAGGAAUCCUGAAGAGAUUCGGGAGUGCUCGAAAGAGAACCUGCACACAGGUGCUGCAUGGCUGUCGUCAGCUCGUGUCGUGAGAUGUUGGGUUAAGUCCCGCAACGAGCGCAACCCUUGCCAUUAGUUGCUACGAAAGGGCACUCUAAUGGGACUGCCGGUGACAAACCGGAGGAAGGUGGGGAUGACGUCAAGUCCUCAUGGCCCUUAUAGGUGGGGCUACACACGUCAUACAAUGGCCGGUACAGAGGGUAGCCAACCCGCGAGGGGGAGCCAAUCCCGCAAAGCCGGUCGUAGUCCGGAUCGCAGUCUGCAACUCGACUGCGUGAAGUCGGAAUCGCUAGUAAUCGCGGAUCAGAAUGUCGCGGUGAAUACGUUCCCGGGUCUUGUACACACCGCCCGUCACACCAUGGGAGCGGGUUCUGCCAGAAGUAGUUAGCCUAACCGCAAGGAGGGCGAUUACCACGGCAGGGUUCGUGACUGGGGUGAAGUCGUAACAAGGUAGCCG
rnacentral:rRNA from 1 species